UACGUAGGCAGCGAGCGUUGUUCGGAAUUACUGGGCGUAAAGCGUGCGCAGGCGGUUUUGUAAGCCAGAUGUGAAAUCCCCGGGCUUAACCUGGGAAUGGCAUGGGAAACUGGCGGGCUGGAGUGUGGCAGAGGGGGGUGGAAUUCCGCGUGUAGCAGUGAAAUGCGCAGAUAUCGGGAAGAACACCCGUGGCGAAGGCGGCACUCUGGGACGGUGCUGACGCUGAGACGCGAAAGCGUGGGGAGCGAACAGG
rnacentral:rRNA from 1 species